rnacentral:rRNA from 1 species
CAGAGGGAAACUUCUGAUAAUACUGGAUAAGUUAGUAUAUCGCAUGAUAUGCAAAUGAAAGCUACGGCACUAAAGGAGAGCUUUGCGUCCUAUUAGCUAGUUGGUAAGGUAAGAGCUUACCAAGGCGAUGAUAGGUAGCCGGCCUGAGAGGGUGGACGGCCACAAGGGGACUGAGAUACGGCCCUUACUCCUACGGGAGGCAGCAGAG